UCAACACCGUCAGUACAAUACAAUGGUACUGAAAGUGCGUGUUGACUGACAGAGUCAUGUACAAAUACGUUUGAAAAGCAGGCAGUACAUAGGUCACACGGCUUUGGUAUCGCUUGGGUUUGGAUUGCAGUAGUAUAGUCGUGAUCCAAACAGAAACAGUGAGGUUCUGUUUAAUUUCCUGGAUUGUUUGAAAUGGGUAUUUGAUAACCUAUUGUGUACGCAAUAUGCCAUUUUAACAGUCCUGGAGCCGGGAGUUCUGCUCAGCCAUAACAGAGCGCUGAAGCUGACAGCAGGGUGGAAUUGUACAUGCUGCUCACCUUAUGCUCCUUAAUUGGGCUCAGCAGAGACCAUAUCUAAGGAUAGAGGUAGUUUUGUUUUCACGCUAAUUUAAUCCCUGGCUACUCUACUGGGACUGCCACCAACUAAGACGAAAUAGUGUUUUAUGAUGAUAAUCUGUUUGCUGAGAAAUUGGCAAAAUGCUAAGAAGCAUUAUAUGAGCCAUUGAACAGCAAGGUAAAGUGGGUAACUUGCUUUUUUCUCCUACGGCUUUAUUGAAGAGCAGAAGUGAUGGAAAAUCAGUCCAUCAGUCUGAUAGAAAGUGACGUGAGGACAACCAAAGGAGUGGGAAAAGUCAUUAAGUCUGUGGUGAAGAUGACUAUGAAGGAGAGGGAGACUAGUAAGUGGAAGGACAGAGAGGAGGGAAAGGCCCUGCUAGGCAGUCCCAUAGCUCCUGGGCACAGCCCUCACUGUACUCAAAAAUUGGUGUUUGGAGCUGAAAUGAAGCACUCUGACACCGCUCGGGACAAUGGAGCCUUUUAAGGGGAACAGUGAAGGAAGACACGGAUAAAGCUCCUUCCAUGACCCCAAAAACCACAAAGGCUGCAGGUGGCAAUAUUGUAAAGAAGAGAAUUUGUCUAUUGGAAAAUAUGUGAAGAGAAUGGAAUAGAAGAGGUCCAGCUCUGCUGCAAGAGAAGCUAGGGAAAGGAUGUUGUUGGAUUUUUAUGAGAGAUCAGCUGAAGGCACCUUUGGAUUUACAGAUUUCUGUUCAAAAGAUCCAUUUUAAAUGUAA